rnacentral:lncRNA from 1 species
UUCAUCUUGUCUAUAUCACGACACCCUCUUCCCACUUCUUCCAGAUAGGCCUGAUGAUUGGAAUUUGACUUCUGGCUGAGCUGGGUUCAUGAGCUAGGCUACACAUUCCUUGGGAUCAGGGGAUAGUGCCUGUCUUACUCAGUGCUUGAAAUAUAGUUGGCCUUCAACAGUAUAUUUAUAUGAAUGAAUAAAUGAUUGAGUAAAGAUUGCACUGUGGAAGAUGCCCGGUCUAUCCCAGCUAGCUCAUCAGUGGAUCUCCAGCUCCCGUCCCUAUCUCAUCAACCUGAUGCUAUUACGACUUUGACCCCUGAGUGAUGUUGAUUAGAAACAGAUUGGGGUCUCCACUCUAUGGGCUUGGCUUAGCCACUGUGGUCCUCCUCAUGGAAAAUGUCAUCCUCUUACACAAUGCUUGUGGUCAGAGAACCUGUUUUACAUACUCCUCUUUGCAGGUGCCCCUGGGCUAGGCACAUUCUGGGCUUAGUGUCUCUAUUUAGACUUCCCCAUCUCUCCUGUUCAGUAACACAGCAAGAUAACAUGACCCUGCCUUGGUAAUGUUUUAGAAUUUCCAUGGCAAAGAUUCUAAUAAGACAAACACACCUGUGUUUUAAUUGUAUAUUUGCUUCAGAGCAGCAAGGAAGACAAGUUUUUGUUUACUGGUCCCAGGGUCAAUAAUUGGCAAAGGAGAAAAGUAAUAUAAGAGGUGAAAGUUGCCGGCCGUGUAGUCUCAGUAUAUGCACUGAAAAACAAAACAUGGCGGCCAAGUUCCACCCUGCCCUUGCUUUAUCUGGCCCAGACAUGAUCUUUGCAUUGCAGAGUAUUUAAUUACUCCUAGUAAACCUGCGGUUGGAAGUCAAGGGGUUGAUUUGGGAAUGGGUGUUUGCACCACAUGUGAAAAUCCUGACCUCAGACACAUGGGAGUUAUGAAAAAAGAUGUAUUCUGAAUACCAAAGUCAAACCAGGGGGGAACAAAAACAAUGCUAGGGAAUGCUAUUAUAAAUGGAAAAAUCUUGUUUAACUCAGUAGAACUUUUCUCUGACUUCUUUGGUCAAUGGCAUAUACUGCUCAAUAAAACAUUUAUUUAAUAGAGAGAUUUUGUCUAGUAAUACACUUAAAAUAGUGCUUGGCACUUAGCAAAUACUCAAUAACUAUUAGGUAUUAUUUUUAUUAUUUCAAUUAUACUUUUUAAGGAAUUAAAAUAUAAUACAAUUUCUAUUUAACAUUAUUUAAUCUUUCUUGGGUAACAAAAGCAGAGGCAUCAAUAGUUUGGUAAUUCUGUUAGUCAGGGAGUUGACAUCAGUGUAAGCUGGACCUCACUGCAUAAUGUGAAUUAGGAAUGAACAUCCCAGCUUUGCCCAGGGGCCAUCCAGCUUGCGUGAGAUAAAUCUGGACCUGAAUGUCAAUUUACUAAUUUAUAGUGGCCAUCAUUUGCUACCAAAUUGAAUGCUAUAUUUGCAUGGUUCCAUCAACUUAAUCUCUUUUAUCAAAAAGUCGAAUUAAGAUUCCAUGGCUGAUUUGUGCACAUGGGGUGUUGAGUGUCCUGUUGGUCAUUACCAUAGAGCAGUGGUGGCUUAUUGAAAUGCCACAGCUCUUCUGGCAUCCCAGUGAUUUUUAUCUUUGCACUAGCAUGACAGUAAUAAGAAUUUCUUACUCUGCACUCUGUCUUUCCUAGAUUCCGUUUAGAUCCAUGCCUCUAGGGUACAUUUGCCAUGGCAAUACCACUUCAAAUGUCAACCUAGAAGACUGUUCUCCCAUACAGGUUACCAUUUCAAAUGUACACUGACUAAAGUUCCACUUCAAUAACAUUUAAGGGAGUCCCUUAAUCCCCAGUAUUAGAAUGCCCCCAGAAUCACACUUUGCAGUCCUACAAUAAGGAGAGUUUUCUUCUCUUCAAAAGUGUCACUUUCUGACAUUUCCUGAAUCUGGGCGUCUGCUUUGGUUGCCAUCUGACCUUUUGGCUGGUAGCCUAUUCUCCUCUGUCCAUCAUCAUUAUAAGCGUCAACUAUUAUUUUGCUGAUAAACUCAGAAGUGCCAUUUACUAGAUUAUUUUGGUCAAUAAAAUGCCAGAUAGACUAGAUUUACUAUAUCUUUUAAAGUAGUCAAUAAAAUAAAAUCCUCUAAGCGAGAUCAGAAAAUGGCUUACCGAAGAAACAGACCUAUGAAAGUAGACGAGGGACAUGUCAUUCUUACAAUAACUUGGGGCCUGUUUAUCAUUCCACUUUCUCUAUUCCAGCAAACAAAGAAAUAUCAUAAGUACCAUCCCCCACUUUUUAAAAAAGUUCCUUAUUCCAGAAACUUUGUUCCAGAAAAGAUGUAGUAAAAAUGGGGUGUUAACAAUAUCUGUGUCCUAAAGUGUUUCGUUUUUGAUUAAAACGUAUCACACUUGAGAAAUGAUUGAACAACUGGUUGGAAGUCACAAAAAUAUUAACUGUAAUGAGCUCAUUUAAACAGAAACAGACGUGCUACCCCGCUGGUUGUCAAAAGUUUUCAAAGACGGUUUCUCUCGAGCAAGCAGGGUCCUGCAGACUGCGUCCAUCUGUCUUCAUGAAAGAGCAUUUUCAUACUCUGGAAGGAAAUGCUCCUGUAAAAACACCAUUUGGAAUUAUUGAUCUCUUGAUCACUUGUAGAUCUCAGUGGGAAAUCAGAACAGCAAUGGGCUCAGACAGGAAUCACCAGUGCCAAGAACAUUUUUUUUUAAUUUGGAUUAAUAGGUGGCUGGAAUGAAAUAAAGUCAUAUUUAUUAAGAG